rnacentral:rRNA from 1 species
UACGUAGGGGGCAAGCGUUGUCCGGAUUCAUUGGGCGUAAAGAGCUCGUAGGCGGCUUGGCAAGUCGGGUGUGAAACCUCCAGCUCAACCUGGAGACGCCACCCGAUACUGCCAUGGCUAGAGUCCGGUAGGGGACCACGGAAUUCCUGGUGUAGCGGUGAAAUGCGCAGAUAUCAGGAGGAACACCGGUGGCGAAGGCGGCUCUCUGGACCUGUCCUGACGCUGAGGCGCGAAAGCUAGGGGAGCGAACAGG